rnacentral:misc_RNA from 1 species
GAUGAAGAACGUAGCGAAAUGCGAUACUUGGUGUGAAUUGCAGAAUCCCGUGAACCAUCGAGGCUUUGAACGCAAGUUGCGCCCGAAGCCAUUAGGCCGAGGGCACGCCUGCCUGGGCGUCACACGUCGUUGCCCCCCCAUCUACUCCUUCGGGAUUGCGGGGGGCGGAUGAUGGCCUCCCGUGCGCCUCGCCGCGCGGUUGGCAUAAAUGCCAAGUCCUCGGCGACGCACGCCACGACAAUCGGUGGUUGCGAAACCUCGGUUGCCCGUCGUGUGCGGUCGUCGCGCAUCGAGGGCUCGAAAAAAUUGCCGGGUUCCGGCUCGGCUUUCAACGCGACCCCAGGUCAGGCGGGGUUACCCGCUGAAUUUAAGCAUAUCAAUAAGCGGAGGA